UCCUAUUUUCCCCUUUUUCCCUCCCUCGCGCGGUCUCUUUUGCUUCACUCCUAAAAUCUCUGCAAACAAAAAUCCCCAAAAACAGAAGCCCUGACUUCGACGACUUCUCUCUUGAUGACUCCUAAAAUCUCUUGCUUCACUUCCCGUGGAUUUAGCACACAAGCAAUGACGUCAACGAACCCUUCAAUUCACGUGAUCGAUCGAAGCCCUAGCUCAACAUCACUGGUCAUUGCAUGAGAUCUCACCGUUGCAGAUUUUGCGGAUUCUGGGGGUGUUCAGCAGCCAAUUUGAUGGACUUUUGAGUUGGAAUAUUGGUACCGGAGAUGAACUAUGAUAUCACUUUUUGGCAGAAUGGAGCAUGGAGUCACUUUUUGCAGCUGUUCAGAACUAACUUAAACUUAGUUACAGCUUGGAGUAUGAAGUCCACUUUUUGUUACUUUAUCAUGGACUUUACCUAGUAUUUAUAGUUUUGGAUGUGGUGUUACUAAACACAUAUUGGAAAACAAGUACGUUGUGGAAUUUGUAGUUUUUGGGGAUGGUUGAUGACUGUUGCUUUUGAGAAACAUAUAUAUUAUGUGGUUAUUAAUGUUGUCAAGGAUUUUAUUGUUAA